UUGAACGCUGGCGGCAGGCCUAACACAUGCAAGUCGAGCGGUAGCACAGAGAGCUUGCUCUCGGGUGACGAGCGGCGGACGGGUGAGUAAUGUCUGGGAAACUGCCUGAUGGAGGGGGAUAACUACUGGAAACGGUAGCUAAUACCGCAUAAUGUCGCAAGACCAAAGUGGGGGACCUUCGGGCCUCAUGCCAUCAGAUGUGCCCAGAUGGGAUUAGCUAGUAGGUGGGGUAACGGCUCACCUAGGCGACGAUCCCUAGCUGGUCUGAGAGGAUGACCAGCCACACUGGAACUGAGACACGGUCCAGACUCCUACGGGAGGCAGCAGUGGGGAAUAUUGCACAAUGGGCGCAAGCCUGAUGCAGCCAUGCCGCGUGUGUGAAGAAGGCCUUCGGGUUGUAAAGCACUUUCAGCGGGGAGGAAGGCGGUGAGGUUAAUAACCUUGGCGAUUGACGUUACCCGCAGAAGAAGCACCGGCUAACUCCGUGCCAGCAGCCGCGGUAAUACGGAGGGUGCAAGCGUUAAUCGGAAUUACUGGGCGUAAAGCGCACGCAGGCGGUCUGUCAAGUCGGAUGUGAAAUCCCCGGGCUCAACCUGGGAACUGCAUUCGAAACUGGCAGGCUAGAGUCUUGUAGAGGGGGGUAGAAUUCCAGGUGUAGCGGUGAAAUGCGUAGAGAUCUGGAGGAAUACCGGUGGCGAAGGCGGCCCCCUGGACAAAGACUGACGCUCAGGUGCGAAAGCGUGGGGAGCAAACAGGAUUAGAUACCCUGGUAGUCCACGCCGUAAACGAUGUCGAUUUGGAGGUUGUGCCCUUGAGGCGUGGCUUCCGGAGCUAACGCGUUAAAUCGACCGCCUGGGGAGUACGGCCG
rnacentral:rRNA from 1 species